GGGUUGUGAGGUUAAGCGACUAAGCGUACACGGUGGAUGCCCUGGCAGUCAGAGGCGAUGAAGGACGUGCUAAUCUGCGAUAAGCGCCGGUAAGGUGAUAUGAACCGUUAUAACCGGCGAUUUCCGAAUGGGGAAACCCAGUGUGAUUCGUCACACUAUCAUUAACUGAAUCCAUAGGUUAAUGAGGCGAACCGGGGGAACUGAAACAUCUAAGUACCCCGAGGAAAAGAAAUCAACCGAGAUUCCCCCAGUAGCGGCGAGCGAACGGGGAGGAGCCCAGAGCCUGAAUCAGCAUGUGUGUUAGUGGAAGCGUCUGGAAAGGCGCGCGAUACAGGGUGACAGCCCCGUACACAAAAGCGCAUGUGCUGUGAGCUCGAUGAGUAGGGCGGGACACGUGGUAUCCUGUCUGAAUAUGGGGGGACCAUCCUCCAAGGCUAAAUACUCCUGACUGACCGAUAGUGAACCAGUACCGUGAGGGAAAGGCGAAAAGAACCCCGGCGAGGGGAGUGAAAAAGAACCUGAAACCGUGUACGUACAAGCAGUGGGAGCACCCUUCGGGGUGUGACUGCGUACCUUUUGUAUAAUGGGUC
rnacentral:rRNA from 1 species